rnacentral:rRNA from 1 species
UAAGGAAUAUUGGUCAAUGGACGCAAGUCUGAACCAGCCAUGCCGCGUGGAGGAUGAAUGCCCUCUGGGUUGUAAGCUCCUUUUAUCUGGGAAGAAACCUGCUUUUUCUUGAGCAGCUGACGGUACCAGAGGAAUAAGCACCGGCUAACUCCGUGCCAGCAGCCGCGGUAAUACGGAGGGUGCAAGCGUUAUCCGGAUUCACUGGGUUUAAAGGGUGCGUAGGUGGGUUGGUAAGUCAGUGGUGAAAUCUCCAGGCUUAACCUGGAAACUGCCGUUGAUACUAUCAAUCUUGAAUAUCGCGUAGGUAAGCGGAAUAUGUCAUGUAGCGGUGAAAUGCUUAGAUAUGACAUAGAACACCAAUUGCGAAGGCAGCUUACUUCACGAUCAUUGACACUGAGGCACGAAAGCGUGGGGAGCAAA